rnacentral:rRNA from 1 species
CCUACGGGAGGCAGCAGUGAGGAAUAUUGGUCAAUGGGCGAGAGACUGAACCAGCCAAGUCGCGUGAAGGAUGACGGCCCUACGGGUUGUAAACUUCUUUUGUCAGGGAGCAAUUGGGUCCACGCGUGGGCUUAGCGAUAGUACCUGAAGAAAAAGCAUCGGCUAACUCCGUGCCAGCAGCCGCGGUAAUACGGAGGAUGCGAGCGUUAUCCGGAUUUAUUGGGUUUAAAGGGUGCGUAGGCGGAAUAUCAAGUCAGCGGUAAAAAUUCGGGGCUCAACCCCGUCGUGCCGUUGAAACUGAUGGUCUUGAGUGGGCGAGAAGUAGGCGGAAUGCGUGGUGUAGCGGUGAAAUGCAUAGAUAUCACGCAGAACUCCGAUUGCGAAGGCAGCAUACCGGCGCCCAACUGACGCUGAAGCACGAAAGCGUGGGUAUCGAACAGGAUUAGAUACCCGAGUAGUC